UAUCACUGACCUAUUACCUCUUGGGACUUGUUGCAUAAUUAUUUAGGUUGAUGACGUUAACGAUUGGUUGAAUUCGCACUGUUUAUCAGUUGACGAUCGGUCAGUGAGUGUCUUAAUCGGUCAAGAGAGCAAAAGGGGACAGCUGAAACUUAAGGAAAAGCAUCCAUUUUACAGCCGUCAUCUCGUUUCUUCGUUUAGAAACAACAGUCUUUUGAAUUUAGACAUGGUGCUGUGACUUAUAUUCAGUGCCGUGUCAUGCAUUGGUGAGCGGCUGUCUGCUUGUUUCGGUUGUUCCAACAAGGGAAAUUCGGCAGGUUGACAUGGCACAUCACGUAAGCCCAAGUGUCAGGAGGUGUAUUGUGUGCCCAGUGGUGCUUCAUGUUCACCCACCUCCCUUCCUAAAGACCCAUCUCAGAUAAACUACAGUAAAGGCUAAAGAUACUCUCCAUCAUCUCUUUGUCGUGUCAUCUCACAUUCAUCUGAGCUGUUUAUAAUGAUGACUUGUCUAUAAACUCCCUCUACAGGAGGUGGACAUGUCUGAUGUUUCAAACAGCCCAGAUGUCAUAUACCUAUAAAUAAUAAUAAAAAAAACACCAAA